rnacentral:lncRNA from 1 species
UUGAAGAGGAUGUUUUUUUGACUAAAGUAGAGAAGAAGAAGUUCUUAAAGAUGCUCUCCAAACAUGAUGGCAUUGACAAGAAGAAAUUAUUAGAGUCUAAAAUUUACUAAUUAAAGAGAUUGCCCAAGGAUUAUUAAGUUGCUAUGGAGAGGCUUAAGGCAAUAAGAUUAAAUAACAAAGAGAGGUUUGAUAAAACUCAUUGAUUGAAGCCAAAGCCAAUUAAAGAAGAUGAUUGAAUUUUGAUUUAUGAUGGUAGUUUGAUACACCAAUAAUCUAUUAUUUGUAACUUUGUAUGAUAUUGGUUUGGAUCUUUUGUGGUACUUGAAGUGCAUGAUAAUGCAAUUUAUUUUCUUCAAGAAUUAGAUGAGACACCAUUGAAUAUUAGGAUUGGAAGAAAAGAAAUUAAAGUCUUUAAGUAAUAAGAUGGAAUGAAUUAUAUAGAAGAUUUAGAGGCUUUUGAAUCACAAUAUUUUGAACAAUGGUUCUAUAGUGAUAUGGCUCACAAUGACUUUGAUUUUAAUGAUGGAGGUAUUGUAGUCUAAUUCUUUCAUACAUACCAAAAUAUGUACAUGUUUGGAGGAAGUGAGUGUUGUCAUGCACUUAAUUUAAAUGCAUCAAAGUUAUUUUGAAGGUAAUUAACUUUAUUUUUAAGAAGAGAGGAAUAUAAUGUAAAUAUAUUUAUAAAUUUGAAAAGGAUUUAAAAUAGGAGAUUCUUGGCUUAAAUGGAUUAUUUAAGCUUUGAAGGUAUUGUCUUUCAUGAUAGAUAUCUGACUUUAUGGUCAUUAAAGAUAGGUAUUGAGAGAAGUUUAUGAUAGGAGUUUUGGCAUGAAGUGGAGUUUUUUUUUUCUUUUUGCUUGAGUAGGAGUGUGUAGGAGGAAGAUUGUUAGAGUUUUGAGAUGGCUAAUUUCAAAAUUGGUUUAAAAUUUUUGAUACUACUUACCAAAUUUUUAUUUCUUUAUAUUAAAAUUUAAAAAAAAAACUAAAUUUUAUUGUUAGUUUUCUAACAAGCUUUAGUAUACAAGAAGAAGAGUUAUGACAAGGGAGAACCAAGUGAGUUUGUAGAAGGAGGGUUGUUGGAGUUUUUUAGAGGUAUAAUUCAAGACCAAUUUGAGAUUUUUAAUGCCAUUUUUUAUAUAUUUUUUUAUUUAAUUUUUUUAUAGAAUCUAAAUUUCAUUCUUAAAUUUUUAAUAAGUCUUAAUAUACAAGAAGAAGAAUUGUGAUAAGAAAGAUUGAAGCUAAUUUGUGGAUGGAAUUUUUGAAAGCAAUAGCUACAAUAAGUGGCUAAUGUUUUAUUUUCUUACUUUGGCUCUUAUUUUUAAAAAAUUUUAUUUAUUGAAUUUAAAAAUUUGAAGUUUAAAACUUGAAUUAAGCUCAAUGAGUUAAAUUUUGUAUAGAUUAGAUUAAUGAUAAAUAAAUUAUAGAUAUUUUUUUGAAAAGAGAUUUAAAU